rnacentral:rRNA from 1 species
CCUACGGGAGGCUGCAGUGGGGAAUAUUGGACAAUGGGGGGGAACCCUGAUCCAGCCAUGCCGCGUGUGUGAAGAAGGCCCUCGGGUUGUAAAGCACUUUCAGUGAGGAAGAACGCCUGGUGGUUAAUACCCAUCAGGAAAGACAUCACUCACAGAAGAAGCACCGGCUAACUCCGUGCCAGCAGCCGCGGUAAUACGGAGGGUGCGAGCGUUAAUCGGAAUUACUGGGCGUAAAGCGCGCGUAGGUGGCUUGAUAAGCCGGUUGUGAAAGCCCCGGGCUCAACCUGGGAACGGCAUCCGGAACUGUCAAGCUAGAGUGCAGGAGAGGAAGGUAGAAUUCCCGGUGUAGCGGUGAAAUGCGUAGAGAUCGGGAGGAAUACCAGUGGCGAAGGCGGCCUUCUGGACUGACACUGACACUGAGGUGCGAAAGCGUGGGUAGCAAACAGGAUUAGAUACCCCAGUUGUC